AAAAUCACGACACCGUAAAUCCACAAGCAAACAAAAUCAGCUGACAUUUUUCUCCCCGGUAGAUCUUCAUGUCAAGACUUGGAGUAUAUAUGCGUGAAGAAUUAUUGGAGGCUGACGAAAUAUUUUGUCGCACAUCAAAUGGUAAAAUUUGUGUCGAAUGUGGCAAUGGGAAGUGACGAUUUGAAGUUGUCUAUGGAGGGUGGUGUGGGGUCCACUCCCUUAGAAACAAGGGAAUUCGCUGGUGCACAAA